CACAUUGAACUUACUCAUAAUCUAACGAACACAAUAUAAAUAUCAAUCACUAAUUUCGCUACUCAAAAUUUCUUCGUCAUCUGAAGACAGAUCCUCCUCAUCAGUAUAUGCGUCUUCAGAGUCUUCUUCAUCCAUUUGGUUAAAAUCGCUCAAGUCACCUUCUUCUAAGAAACAGUCAAUUGCCAAGGGUAUGAUUUGAUCUUUAAAGACUUCUCCCAAUUGAUAGUCGAGUUCUAAAAGCUCUGUUUUGUCAUCCAAACCAUCAUCAGAUUCAUCAUCGUCCAACUGAGGAGGUGAGAAAAAGUUGAAAAAACUGUCAUUAGGGACCGUAGUACGGACCAAUCUAGUUUGAUUUGUUUUACGGUUACGUUGUUUUUUUGUCUCCACUCUAACCGUUAAAUUUUUUUCAGGCUUGAUCCAAUUAAUCUUAUCACCCUCAGCAUGAUCAUACAAAAACUCACCCGAAGGACUUAAAUCAUCUUUAUAGUAAUAAGUUUUCGUUAAAAUCUUGUUUGUAAAGUAAUCAUUUGAGUCAAAUUCGAAUUCUAGUUUGUAACCAUGAACAUCUCCCGAAAGGUUGGUAAAACGAAUGUCGCUGAGUGAUCGCAAGACAUUUUCAUCUUCUGGUGUUAUCAUUUCGCCAACCAAGAAAACAUUAUGAAGACAAGUCAGCCAAAAUUCGGGAAUUCCCUUAGGAUCUGGAAGAUUAUUUUGAAAUAUUUCUUCCUCGUGAUCUAAUUCGUCGUCCACUGGUUCAGAAACACCCUUGAUAAUUUCGGCUCUUCUAGAGAAAAUAGGUUGAUAUUUUUUCUCGUAUUUUGUUUCCAGAUCUAACAUUUUUUGACGAAAUUCAUAUUGAAUUGCAUCACAAUCUUUUUGAAGGCCUUUCAAUGCUGUAAUACGAUUUUGGACUGCUGGCGCAAGGCUCUCUAUAUAUCCCGACGACUUUCCAACCAACGAGCUAAGGCGUCCCUCAAUCAUUGAUAACAUGGCCGGAUUGUUGCGCAAUAACCCGCUAACUUCAUCAUGUGCUGAUUUGUCCUCCAGUUGUGAUUGCAAGGUUUGUCUAGCUUUUUCUAAUGCGGCCUUACUAAGAUGUACAUCUGAAGAUGGAGUAUUUUGUGGCGUUUGAGCAGCAAACCCAUUCCAAGACUUCUUAAAAUCUCCUGGACCUUUAGACAUAUUUUAAUAAUGCAAACGGAGAUUAAAUUAAAUUGGUAAAGCUUCGUUGUUGGACUGUGGAUCUUCGUGAAGUCUACCAAAGAGAUGUUGGGCCUGACUCGUUAUUGCAGCUUAGCAUAUUUUAAUGAUAUGUUUACAGCAUUUUUCGUAUGAGAGUCUUUAAUGAAAUAUAUUUAUGUGUUUAGCGGCUAUCAUAGUUUGGGAUAGUAUUUGGGGUUUUAUUUGGAAGAAUAUGUAAAAUUAGAAAGCAUCCGGAAGUUUACAUAUACGUUGACUUUUUUCUCUCCGCUUUCCUUAUACUUUCUCUGACAAAGGUAAUGGAUUGUAUAAACCAAAGGCGCUGCUUUCAAAUUCUGAUGUAGCUGUCCAAAUAGCUAAAA
rnacentral:lncRNA from 1 species